AUUGAACGCUGGCGGCAGGCCUAACACAUGCAAGUCGAGCGGAUGAAGGGAGCUUGCUCCUGGAUUCAGCGGCGGACGGGUGAGUAAUGCCUAGGAAUCUGCCUGGUAGUGGGGGAUAACGUCCGGAAACGGGCGCUAAUACCGCAUACGUCCUGAGGGUGAAAGUGGGGGAUCUUCGGACCUCACGCUAUCAGAUGAGCCUAGGUCGGAUUAGCUAGUUGGUGGGGUAAAGGCCUACCAAGGCGACGAUCCGUAACUGGUCUGAGAGGAUGAUCAGUCACACUGGAACUGAGACACGGUCCAGAGUCCUACGGGAGGCAGCAGUGGGGAAUAUUGGACAGUGGGCGAAAGCCUGAUCCAGCCAUGCCGCGUGUGUGAAGAAGGUCUUCGGAUUGUAAAGCACUUUAAGUGGGGAGGAAGGGCAGUAAGUUAAUACCUUGCUGUUUUGACGUUACCAACAGAAUAAGCACCGGCUAACUUCGUG
rnacentral:rRNA from 1 species